CAGAAGCAUCGCUGCAUUCCCGUGGUCACCUGCGUAGAGCCCGAAGUUCCAAGUCACGGGACCAUGCGCGUGCUCCCCCCUCUACGCGGUGUUGAUCCCAGACGUGGACCAGUGCGCCGGCGGGCGUCCGUGCCUAUACGUCUGCAGCGUCCGCUCAGCGUAACCUCCACGGCGUACCAUGGCAACGAUACGAGGGCGGCCGAGGAAGCGAACGUGGUGCUGCCACCGGGACAUCACCGCGUCG
rnacentral:lncRNA from 1 species